rnacentral:rRNA from 1 species
CCUUGGAUCCAGACUUUGAUUCUGGCUCAGGAUGAACGCUAGCUACAGGCUUAACACAUGCAAGUCGAGGGGAAACGACAUCGAAAGCUUGCUUUUGAUGGGCGUCGACCGGCGCACGGGUGAGUAACGCGUAUCCAACCUGCCCAUCACUUGGGGAUAACCUUGCGAAAGUAAGACUAAUACCCAAUGAUAUCUCUAGAAGACAUCUGAAAGAGAUUAAAGAUUUAUCGGUGAUGGAUGGGGAUGCGUCUGAUUAGCUUGUUGGCGGGGUAACGGCCCACCAAGGCGACGAUCAGUAGGGGUUCUGAGAGGAAGGUCCCCCACAUUGGAACUGAGACACGGUCCAAACUCCUACGGGAGGCAGCAGUGAGGAAUAUUGGUCAAUGGACGAGAGUCUGAACCAGCCAAGUAGCGUGCAGGAUGACGGCCCUAUGGGUUGUAAACUGCUUUUAUAAGGGAAUAAAGUGAGAGUCGUGACUCUUUUUGCAUGUACCUUAUGAAUAAGGACCGGCUAAUUCCGUGCCAGCAGCCGCGGUAAUACGGAAGGUCCGGGCGUUAUCCGGAUUUAUUGGGUUUAAAGGGAGCGUAGGCCGGAGAUUAAGCGUGUUGUGAAAUGUAGACGCUCAACGUCUGCACUGCAGCGCGAACUGGUUUCCUUGAGUACGCACAAAGUGGGCGGAAUUCGUGGUGUAGCGGUGAAAUGCUUAGAUAUCACGAAGAACUCCGAUUGCGAAGGCAGCUCACUGGAGCGCAACUGACGCUGAAGCUCGAAAGUGCGGGUAUCGAACAGGAUUAGAUACCCUGGUAGUCCGCACGGUAAACGAUGGAUGCCCGCUGUUGGUCUGAAUAGGUCAGCGGCCAAGCGAAAGCAUUAAGCAUCCCACCUGGGGAGUACGCCGGCAACGGUGCAACUCAAAGGAAUUGACGGA